UUCUCCCUGCGGAGUUCGUGAUAAGUUCUUUAUGUACCACAACAGUAAUACGGGACGCCGGAAAAACUCUUGCCGUGAAUUGCAGGCCUCCCGCUCGGCUUAAAUGUGCCGCUGCGGACGUUGGAAGCAGAGAAGCGGUGAGGAGGCGACCCACCUGCAAAUAUUGCAGGUUACUACGGAGCUUACACGGCUGUUGCGGGGGUAUU
rnacentral:other from 1 species